rnacentral:rRNA from 1 species
ACUUGGUGUUACUGCGAAGGGGGGACGGAGAAGGCUAUGUUAGCCGGGCGACGGUUGUCCCGGUUUAAGCAUGUAGGCGGGAAGUUUAGGUAAAUCCGGACUUCUUUUAACGCUGAGGUGUGAUGACGAGGUACUACGGUGCUGAAGUAACAAAUGCCCUGCUUCCAGGAAAAGCCUCUAAGCAUCAGGUAACACGAAAUCGUACCCCAAAC